ACGCGUAUACAAUCUACCUUUAANUGAGGGAUAGCCCAUAGAAAUUUGGAUUAAUACCUCAUAGUAUUAUAUUAAGGCAUCUUUUUAUAAUUAAAACUCCGGUGGUUAAAGAUGAGUAUGCGUCCUAUUAGCUAGUUGGUAAGGUAAAAGCUUACCAAGGCUACGAUAGGUAGGGGGCCUGAAAGGGUGAUCCCCCACACUGGUACUGAGACACGGACCAGACUCCUACGGGAGGCAGCAGUGAGGAAUAUUGCACAAUGGAGGAAACUCUGAUGCAGCCAUGCCGCGUGCAGGAUGAAUGCCCUAUGGGUUGUAAACUGCUUUUAUACAAGAAGAAACAUCGGUACGUGUACCGACUUGACGGUAUUGUAGAA
rnacentral:rRNA from 1 species